AAUGGACACUGUCAGAGGAGAAAGAUGGAUGGUGAAAAUAAAGAAAACCGGGACCCGGAGGGCUCCAGAAAUCAGGUGGAAGCUGAAAAUAAGGAUGUGGGCCAACAGGCCCAGGAAGCGGAGGAGGCGCCCCAAAUAGUAAGUACUUUUCAUUAUUAAAAUUUAA